UACGUAGGGUGCAGGCGUUAGUCGGAAUUACUGGGCGUAAAGCGUGCGCAGGCGGUUUGCUAAGACAGGUGUGAAAUCCCCGGGCUUAACCUGGGAACUGCGCUUGUAACUGGCAAGCUGGAGUGUGGCAGAGGGGGGUGGAAUUCCACGUGUAGCAGUGAAAUGCGUAGAGGUGUGGAGGAACACCGAUGGCGAAGGCAGCCCCCUGGGCUAACACUGACGCUCAUGCACGAAAGCGUGGGUAGCGAACAGG
rnacentral:rRNA from 1 species